UUCAAGCCCCAGGUCUGGCACAAAAACUAAACCAACAAAACUCUGUAAACAUAACUCACCCCAGAAAAAUAUACUUAAUAAAAUAUGAGGGGUGAAACAGUAGAAAAGUUAUGAUUUUAAUGAACAUGUCUUUGCAUUAUUCUUUUACAAUUAUUUCUUAGAGAAAGAAAUGGUUUCCAGAGGGGUCGCAAGUACCAUAGCAGCUGCUAAGUAGGGGCCAGUCAGGUGGCAUUGAAAGACUUGCCAGGGAUAUGAUGCUUAAGCAGGGUCGAGGGACAGGGUAUCAAGGAGACUGAGAAAGAAAGCAGCUAUUAAGCCCAGUAAUUUCCUCCUGGCAUUUUUCACUAGACUUUGGUAGGAGUAGCUCACGUAAAAGGUAAUGCAGCUGAAACUUCAAGAGAGUUCAUGUACACUCUCCCAGUCCCCGGUCCACCUAGAAUGCUAGCUCCAUGACCAUCUGGCAUACAAUAUGUCACCUCUGGUGAUCUGAAAGAUGGCUGCUUGGGCUGAGGGCAGCUGGGAUGGGAGGGGACAAAGAGCAUUCCAGGCUGAAAAACAGCAGGGACUUUGAGGCAGGAGAUAAGAUGAAACAAAGGGCAAGAGGUGGAGUAAAAAGAAGAUGCUUUUACAGCAUACCCAGUUGAGUUCCGUGUCUAAAGAAUAAUGUAAAACACUGAAAGGUUUUAAACAAGUAAGAGACAAGAUAAAACUUAGGUUUCUAAAGGAUGAUUUGGGGGAAAAUGGAGUCAUGUGCUUUUGAUAACACAGACAUGGGUGUGGUAUUCAUAUAAAAAAACAAGAAUGCCAACCUAAUCAGGAGGAAACAGAAAUAUAAUGAUGUUAUAUAAAAGAACCGGCUUUCAUUUCUGAAAGUGUCAAGGUCAUAAAAGACAGAUGGAAUGAGAAACUCUUCCAGAUUAAAGUAGACUGGAAACAUGACAACUAAAUUCAGUGUGCGUUCUGGGUGGAAUCCUAGAUCAGAAAUUCUCCUUUCACACUAAAGAGCUUUACAGUGAAUUCUGAAGUGAAAAACUGGGGAAAUACGAAUAAGGUAUGCAGAUUAAAAACACAGGAGCCAAGCAAAAGUCUUGAUUUUGAUAACUAUACCACAAUUAUAAGUAGGUUAGUAGAAAAACUGUGAGAAGGUAGACAGGGUGGGAUCCAGACAGAAUAGUGAUUCACUCAAUAUCACAGAUUACUGAGCAGGUGCUACUACAUAACCAAGAACUGUUCUAGUCUCUGGGAAUACACUGAAGAACAAACAAAAUUCCUCUCUCGAGGAAACAUACUUGGUAGAGAAGAAAGAUGUGAAGUAUGGAUAUACUUACAGGCACUAUAAAGUGAAAUAUAGAAGGAUGAAGGGAUGGGAAAAGAGGGAGAAGCUUAUUUUCAGAAAGCACAUUCCUAAAGUUUCUGAGGGAAAGGAGAGACCUGUCAUGAGUUGCCACCACCUCAGUAACCAUCCUCUGAGAGCAAAAUGACAAGUGAGGGGAGAAGUAGAUUCCACUGCUGAGUGAAUGCUAAGAACAAAGAACUAGUGAGGUGAAGAAUGAACUAGUGGCUGGUACUGUCUGAAAUACUGACACUGCUACCUAGGAAA